rnacentral:rRNA from 1 species
UACGAAGGGGGCUAGCGUUGUUCGGAUUUACUGGGCGUAAAGCGCACGUAGGCGGACUAUUAAGUCAGGGGUGAAAUCCCGGGGCUCAACCCCGGAACUGCCUUUGAUACUGGUAGUCUUGAGUUCGAGAGAGGUGAGUGGAAUUCCGAGUGUAGAGGUGAAAUUCGUAGAUAUUCGGAGGAACACCAGUGGCGAAGGGCGGCUCACUGGCUCGGAUACUGACGCUGAGGUGCGAAAGCGUGGGGAGCAAACAGG